UGGGGGAUUUUGGACAAUGGGCGAAAGCCUGAUCCAGCAAUGCCGCGUGUGUGAAGAAGGCCUUCGGGUUGUAAAGCACUUUUGUCCGGAAAGAAAUCCUUGGCUCUAAUACAGUCGGGGGAUGACGGUACCGGAAGAAUAAGCACCGGCUAACUACGUGCCAGCAGCCGCGGUAAUACGUAGGGUGCAAGCGUUAAUCGGAAUUACUGGGCGUAAAGCGUGCGCAGGCGGUUUGCUAAGACCGAUGUGAAAUCCCCGGGCUCAACCUGGGAACUGCAUUGGUGACUGGCAGGCUAGAGUAUGGCAGAGGGGGGUAGAAUUCCACGUGUAGCAGUGAAAUGCGUAGAGAUGUGGAGGAAUACCGAUGGCGAAGGCAGCCCCCUGGGCCAAUACUGACGCUCAUGCACGAAAGCGUGGGGAGCAAACAGGAUUAGAUACCCUGGUAGUCCACGCCCUAAACGAUGUCAACUAGUUGUUGGGGAUUCAUUUCCUUAGUAACGUAGCUAACGCGUGAAGUUGACCGCCUGGGGAGUACGGUCGCAAGAUU
rnacentral:rRNA from 1 species